rnacentral:rRNA from 1 species
GAUGAACGCUGGCGGUAUGCCUAACACAUGCAAGUCGAACGGAGUUCUUCGGAACUUAGUGGCGGACGGGUGAGUAACACGUGAGAACCUACCUUCAGAAUGGGGACAACAGUUGGAAACGACUGCUAAUACCCAAUGUGCCGAAAGGUGAAAGAUUUAUCGUCUGGAGAUGGGCUCGCGUCUGAUUAGCUAGAUGGUGGGGUAAGAGCCUACCAUGGCAACGAUCAGUAGCUGGUCUGAGAGGAUGAGCAGCCACACUGGGACUGAGACACGGCCCAGACUCCUACGGGAGGCAGCAGUGGGGAAUUUUCCGCAAUGGGCGAAAGCCUGACGGAGCAAUACCGCGUGAGGGAGGAAGGUCCUUGGAUUGUAAACCUCUUUUAUCAGGGAAGAAGUUCUGACGGUACCUGAUGAAUAAGCAUCGGCUAACUCCGUGCCAGCAGCCGCGGUAAUACGGAGGAUGCAAGCGUUAUCCGGAAUUAUUGGGCGUAAAGCGUCCGUAGGUGGUUAUGCAAGUCUGCCGUUAAAGAAUGGAGCUUAACUCCAUAGGAGCGGUGGAAACUGCAAGACUAGAGUACAGUAGGGGUAGCAGGAAUUCCCAGUGUAGCGGUGAAAUGCGUAGAUAUUGGGAAGAACAUCGGUGGCGAAAGCGUGCUACUGGGCUGAAACUGACACUGAGGGACGAAAGCUAGCGUAGCGAAAGGGAUUAGAUACCCCUGUAGUCCUAGUCGUAAACGAUGGAUACUA